CACCGGCAGCCCGAGUGGUGGCCACUAUUAUUGGGUCUAAAGCGUCCGUAGCCGGCUUGGCAAGUCCCCUGGGAAAUCUGGCGGCUUAACCGUCAGGCGUCCAGAGGAUACUGCCAGGCUUGGGACCGGGAGAGGUGAGAGGUACCUCAGGGGUAGGGGUGAAAUCUUGUGAUCCCUGAGGGACCACCAGUGGCGAAGGCGUCUCACUAGAACGGGUCCGACGGUCAGGGACGAAAGCUGGGGGCACGAACCGG
rnacentral:rRNA from 1 species